UACGGGGGGGGCAAGCGUUGUUCGGAAUUACUGGGCGUAAAGGGCGCGUAGGCGGCCAACUAAGUCAGACGUGAAAUCCCUCGGCUCAACCGGGGAACUGCGUCUGAUACUGGAUGGCUUGAAUUCGGGAGAGGGAUGCGGAAUUCCAGGUGUAGCGGUGAAAUGCGUAGAUAUCUGGAGGAACACCGGUGGCGAAGGCGGCAUCCUGGACCGAGAUUGACGCUGAGGCGCGAAAGCCAGGGGAGCAAACGGG
rnacentral:rRNA from 1 species